UAACAAAAUAACAAUUUUUAUAAUUUUGUUUUUAUUUCUUGCCACUCAGCUAUUCAGCUUCGAAUUCUCAGUACACUGACGACUUCGUAAAAUUUAUUAUUUAAAUAUACAGAAAUAGUCAAAAUUAUUUACACAUCGAACUAUUUUUAUACAAUUUUCACAUAAAAAGCUUUUACUCGUUGUUGUUGUUGUGGCAGUGCCACAAAAUGUUAUUUUGUUCUAAACCUUGACCUAUUCCCCAGCGAACGAUACCCGUAACAGUUUGCUAUUCUUGCCAAACUGACUUCAUUCGCUCAGGAAUAGAUCAAGUGACAAGCAAUGCUGGAUAAAUAAAAUUAAUAGAAUCGUGUGAAAUACCUGAUCCAGAAGAACUUGACGUAACCCGGUGUCUGGAUUUCAAUUUGUCCGACUUUUUCGUCUGUGCCGCAGUUUUCUUUCGCUUAUGCACUGGACUGUAUGCACUUCUUUUUUCCACAGUUGGUGAUAAAGUACCCUUUCUCUUCGCAUUGG